rnacentral:rRNA from 1 species
CGGAGGAAAAGAAACCAACAGGGAUUGCCCUAGUAACGGCGAGUGAAGCGGCAACAGCUCAAAUUUGAAAUCUGGCUCUUUCAGAGUCCGAGUUGUAAUUUGCAGAGGGCGCUUUGGCUUUGGCAGCGGUCCAAGUUCCUUGGAACAGGACGUCACAGAGGGUGAGAAUCCCGUACGUGGUCGCUAGCUAUUGCCGUGUAAAGCCCCUUCGACGAGUCGAGUUGUUUGGGAAUGCAGCUCUAAAUGGGAGGUAAAUUUCUUCUAAAGCUAAAUAUUGGCCAGAGACCGAUAGCGCACAAGUAGAGUGAUCGAAAGAUGAAAAGCACUUUGGAAAGAGAGUCAAACAGCACGUGAAAUUGUUGAAAGGGAAGCGCUUGCAGCCAGACUUGCUUGCAGUUGCUCAUCCGGGCUUUUGCCCGGUGCACUCUUCUGUAGGCAGGCCAGCAUCAGUUUGGGCGGUGGGAUAAAGGUCUCUGUCACGUACCUCUCUUCGGGGAGGCCUUAUAGGGGAGACGACAUACCACCAGCCUAGACUGAGGUCCGCGCAUCUGCUAGGAUGCUGGCGUAAUGGCUGUAAGCGGCCCGUCUUGAAACACGGACCAAGGAGUCUAACAUCUAUGCGAGUGUUUGGGUGUCAAGCCCGAGCGCGUAAUGAAAGUGAACGGAGGUGGGAACCCGCAAGGGUGCACCAUCGACCGAUCCUGAAGUUUACGGAAGGAUUUGAGUAAGAGCAUGGCUGUUGGGACCCGAAAGAUGGUGAACUAUGCUUGAAUAGGGUGAAGCCAGAGGAAACUCUGGUGGAGGCUCGCAGCGGUUCUGACGUGCAAAUCGAUCGUCAAAUUUGGGCAUAGGGGCGAAA